rnacentral:rRNA from 1 species
AGUGAACGCUGGCGGUAGACCUAACACAUGCAAGUCGAACGGCAGCACAGUAAGAGCUUGCUCUUACGGGUGGCGAGUGGCGGACGGGUGAGGAAUACAUCGGAAUCUACUUUUUCGUGGGGGAUAACGUAGGGAAACUUACGCUAAUACCGCAUACGACCUACGGGUGAAAGCAGGGGAUCUUCGGACCUUGCGCGAUUGAAUGAGCCGAUGUCGGAUUAGCUAGUUGGCGGGGUAAAGGCCCACCAAGGCGACGAUCCGUAGCUGGUCUGAGAGGAUGAUCAGCCACACUGGAACUGAGACACGGUCCAGACUCCUACGGGAGGCAGCAGGGGGGAAUAUUGGACAAUGGGCGCAAGCCUGAUCCAGCCAUACCGCGUGGGUGAAGAAGGCCUUCGGGUUGUAAAGCCCUUUUGUUGGGAAAGAAAAGCAGCAGGUUAAUACCCCGCUGUUCUGACGGUACCCAAAGAAUAAGCACCGGCUAACUUCGUG